rnacentral:rRNA from 1 species
AUUGAGCGCUGGCGGCAGGCUUAACACAUGCAAGUCGAGCGGAGAUGAGGUGCUUGCACCUUAUCUUAGCGGCGGACGGGUGAGUAAUGCUUAGGAAUCUGCCUAUUAGUGGGGGACAACAUUCCGAAAGGAAUGCUAAUACCGCAUACGCCCUACGGGGGAAAGCAGGGGAUCUUCGGACCUUGCGCUAAUAGAUGGGCCUAAGUCGGAUUAGCUAGUUGGUGGGGUAAAGGCCUACCAAGGCGACGAUCUGUAGCGGGUCUGAGAGGAUGAUCCGCGACACUGGGACGGAGACACGGCCCAGACGCCUACGGGAGGCAGCAGUGGGGAAUAUUGGACAAUGGGCGGAAGCCUGAUCCAGCCAUGCCGCGUGUGUGAAGAAGGCCUUAUGGUUGUAAAGCACUUUAAGCGAGGAGGAGGCUACUGAGACUAAUACUCUUGGAUAGUGGACGUUACUCGCAGAAUAAGCACCGGCUAACUCUGUGCCAGCAGCCGCCGUAAGAC